UCGUGAUGCCGAAUGUGUGCUCGUGGGUC
rnacentral:piRNA from 1 species